rfam:Pantoea stewartii subsp. stewartii DC283 WGS_Sequence26, whole genome shotgun sequence.
AAAAUAGUCGCAGGAGUCAUACUUUGGACAGUCACCCUAAAUACGUUAUUACUCCGGCAAGCUAACUGCAUUUCGCUGCUUGCCACCUGGCGGGCAGCAAUCUUCCCU